CUCCAGCUGACGAGUCCAAAAUAGGACGAAACGCGCGUCCUGGAU
rnacentral:hammerhead_ribozyme from 1 species